UACGAAGGGGGCUAGCGUUGCUCGGAAUCACUGGGCGUAAAGCGCGCGUAGGCGGCUACUUAAGUCGGAUGUGAAAGCCCUUGGCUCAACUGAGGAAGUGCACCCGAAACUGAGUGGCUUGAGUACUAAAGAGGGUCGCGGAAUUCCCGGUGUAGAGGUGAAAUUCGUAGAUAUCGGGAGGAACACCGGUGGCGAAGGCGGCGACCUGGGUAGAUACUGACGCUGAGGCGCGAAAGCGUGGGGAGCAAACAGG
rnacentral:rRNA from 1 species